AUCCCCAGGACCCCAACUCCCAUCAUGUCCUGCCAGCCUAUCCCUGCCGCUCCCAGGGUGUUCUGCCAGCCUGGCCCUGGGGCUUCCUGCUCUACCUCCAGCCCCACCUCCACCCCUAGCAGCAGAGGGAGGCGUUGCUGGAAGGCGCUGAAGAGGAGCAUCAGAGGCUGCCUGACAGCCCUGUGCUGCUGCUGCCUGCCACCCUCAGGGCGCCACCAACACAAGGUGGCCCCAAUGUAGGAGAGGAAGGCAGA
rnacentral:lncRNA from 1 species